AGCCUAAACCAGGUCAGAGACUUAAUCCACCACAGGCUCCCCUCAACUCUGCUACUUAAUAGCUUCGUGACCUUGAGUAAGUUACUUAACCUCUCUUUGCUUUAAUUUUUUUCACUUGUAAAUGAGGGUGAUUGACUAUAGUCCUUACCUCCUGAUCCAAGACUGGUCUUUAGGGAUCAUUGGGAAGGAAAAGAAUUUUCAUGAGAGCUUUGUUUCACCAUUAGUAAACCAUGGACAUGGAAAACGUUUUAGUUUGUUACUAUGCGUUGGAUCUCUCCAAAAGGGGACUAGAAGGUACAGCUGUGAGUGUUAUGAGACAAAACCAAUUAACUAAUCCCUGCCAGGUACUUACAAUAGUGGCUGGCACGUAAUUAGUGCUACAGUCUCUCCCCCUUAUCCAGGGUUCCACUUUCCUUGGGAUCAGUUACCGGUGGUCUGGAGACAGGAUCCUCCUGAAGAAUCGGCAGAAGGUCAAAAGUAACCUAACACUACAUCACAAGGCCUAAGUCGUUCACGUCACUUCAUCUCAUCAAGGAGGCAUUUUGUCAUCUCACACCACCACGAGAAGAAAGAGUGAAACAAUGAUUGGCCUGCUGGCAUUAUGUACAGCCCAAGCCUAGGAAGCAGCCAAGGGAUGAGCUGACAUCUCAGGAGCACCUGCUGUUUAACAGACCAAUAGCUUUGUUUAUUGGUCCUUCCUGGACCUUGGAAGAAAUCAUGAGUUUAUUUCAUGCCAUCUAAUUCAUACAAACUGCUUUUGCAGCUCAUCACUUUUUGUCUCCGGCACCCAGAUAGAAAUGAAGGUUGGGAUGAACUGUACCUCCUUGGACCUUUCAAUGUAUAAUGAACAAAGGCCAAUCAUCAGUAAAGCUGAAUCAUCACUCACCGUGUAUACCGAUCUUGCGGCUGCACCGUGGAAGAAACUUCUAGUUCCGGUAUUGGAGGAAGCCCUUUCUUGACCUGAGUCAAGGGCAGCCUCUGCUUGGUCUCUG